UCCAGUGCCGCCAUGUCCCUCCGGCUCGAUCCCCAUCUUCCUCCUCGCUCGAUCUCCCCUUCCCCUCCUUCCACCUAGCGCCGCCACCACCUCCCUCUGCAGCGCCAGACCUCCACCAGCGGCUCUCCUUUGCCCCGCUGCUCCUCUGUCUCUAACCCCGGCCGGAUCAACUCGGUUCCCCGAUGCCCUCGCCUCGCACUGGCAAGUGACCCUGCCGGAGUGCCCUGCCAGAGACCCAGUAGCCACCAUGGACGCCAUAGCGCAGCCCUGCCUCCGUUCCCGCGACCAUGCACCGGCCAGCAGCAGGGAACUACGCACGCCCCUGCUCGAAGAAGUUGCCGCCUCCCCGACCGGACCUGGUGCCUCGCCGUCCCAGCGCUGGACCCAGAGGCCGCAAUUCUCGUCGGACCUCUGCCUCGCCCCAUUCAUCAUGCUGCCUGUUGGCCCUCCGUUUUUCCUCGCUGUGAGCACGUUCGGCCAUGGACGUUUUGAGCCGUUUGCCUCCUGCACACAUCGUGGCUUCCUCCAAAUCCAUCGAAGGACACCGUGCAACAAAUAACCAAGUACCCAUGGAUGCAAGUACCAACCGUUGCAUUCCGUUUCAUCUUUGCCAAGGCCGAGAGUAUGCCAAGUACCACGACGUUGAUGCCCCUCAAGUUCGACUACAUGGAAUCGCCAAGUACCCCUACGCCCGAAGAUGCCAAGACCGUUUCGGGAUUCACCAAGUACCGCUACCGUUGACUCGAACAUCUACGAAAAAGUGUACCUCUAUCGUCGCCGAGAUCGCGAGAACCUCUACCGACGACCCCGGAGCGUGUAUGACGAUCAUUGUCGGAGACCCAUACCUCUACCGCUUCCCGAACAUGAACGACUACUUCCACUACGACCGUCCUGAGAACGUCUACUUCCCCUUCAUUGCACCGAACUCGACUCGCUUCGAAAAUGCACCCUUGAAAGGUAUAUCCGCCGGAACGAUGUCGUGGACCGUAUGCAUGUGACGUGUUGUAUGAGAUGCAUGUUUGGAUGUUGUAUCCGCCCGUGAACGUUAGUUGUUCCGUUAUUGACACCGUCGUCGAACCGUGGGAACCCGGUAACCGGGAGCACCUCACCAUCUCUUGCGUGUUCCACACAUCCGCACACUUGCUUCUUUUGCACCGAUAUCUCCGUGAGACACCGGUACCGACUUGUUGUCGUGGCAUCAUUUUCGGAUUUGUUACCGUGGCACCAUUCCCGUUUCGCCGCCAUGGCCCCCUUUUGUUCCGACAUGGCAACAAAUGCUUCAAAAUAUGCUCAUGUCGACUUUUAACAAAAAUUGCAUAAAACUUGCACAUGGCAUCCACAUCAUGAUAACAACAUUUGAAUGGUUUAAAUUGUU